UACGAAGGGGGCUAGCGUUGCUCGGAAUCACUGGGCGUAAAGCGCACGUAGGCGGAUUGUUAAGUCAGGGGUGAAAUCCCCAGGCUCAACCUGGGAACUGCGUCCGAUACUGGCAGGCUUGAAUCCGGGAGAGGGAUGUGGAAUUCCAGGUGUAGCGGUGAAAUGCGUAGAUAUCUGGAGGAACACCGGUGGCGAAGGCGGCAUCCUGGACCGGUAUUGACGCUGAGGCGCGAAAGCUAGGGGAGCAAACGGG
rnacentral:rRNA from 1 species